rnacentral:rRNA from 1 species
UACGUAGGGCGCAAGCGUUGUCCGGAAUUAUUGGGCGUAAAGAGCUCGUAGGCGGCCAGUUGCGUCUGCUGUGAAAUCCCGGGGCUCAACCCCGGGCGUGCAGUGGAUACGGGCUGGCUAGAGGCAGGCAGGGGAGAACGGAAUUCCCGGUGUAGCGGUGAAAUGCGCAGAUAUCGGGAGGAACACCAAUGGCGAAGGCAGCUCGCUGGGACGUGACUGACGCUGAGACGCGAAAGCGUGGGGAGCAAACAGG